GUGCCACUAGUGUAGUAGCACGUAUACUAAAAUUGGAAUGAUACAGAGAUUAACACAGCCACUGUGCAAGGAUGACACACAGAUCAGUGAAGCAUUUCAUAUUAUU